rnacentral:rRNA from 1 species
GGGGAGCUCCGGAAUUUUCGCAUCCCAACCCAAUGUGAACGUUACCAAACUGUUGCCUCGGCGGGGUCACGCCCCGGGUGCGUCGCAGCCCCGGAACCAGGCGCCCGCCGGAGGAACCAACCAAACUCUUUCUGUAGUCCCCUCGCGGACGUAUUUCUUACAGCUCUGAGCAAAAAUUCAAAAUGAAUCAAAACUUUCAACAACGGAUCUCUUGGUUCUGGCAUCGAUGAAGAACGCAGCGAAAUGCGAUAAGUAAUGUGAAUUGCAGAAUUCAGUGAAUCAUCGAAUCUUUGAACGCACAUUGCGCCCGCCAGUAUUCUGGCGGGCAUGCCUGUCCGAGCGUCAUUUCAACCCUCGAACCCCUCCGGGGGAUCGGCGUUGGGGAUCGGGACCCCUCACACGGGUGCCGGCCCCGAAAUACAGUGGCGGUCUCGCCGCAGCCUCUCCUGCGCAGUAGUUUGCACAACUCGCACCGGGAGCGCGGCGCGUCCACGUCCGUAAAACACCCAACUUUCUGAAAUGUUGACCUCGGAUCAGGUAGGAAUACCCGGUGAACUUAAGCAUAUCAAUAAGGCGGAGAAA